ACGUUCUUCUUCGAUUGUUUAACCUUUUGCAAGCGGUCUCAAAGAUUAUUCAACCUGGCUCUUUUGCUGUGCGACCAGCCUAUUGAUGGUAUUUACCAAUGGUCACUGAUCAUAGUAACAUCCCUAAAGCAUCGCUCAUGCGAGAAAAUAAUUUUCUUUCGUACCACAAUUUUACGGAACCUAGUAAUGGUUUUUUGGGUACGAUUCCCGUGAACGGGACUUCAAAAAGUUUCUGCUUCAUAUAUGUUGACAAGUUUAAUUUAAAGGACAAUACUAAUUCUGGUAGACGUCUGAUUGGACCGAGAGACAAUGUGGGACAUCCUGAACAAUUCUUGAGCGCGGAAUUUUAACAAUCAUCAACGGAUGGAACUGAGAGGGAAGAGAAAUCGUCUCUUAAAGAAAGAUAUCAUAUUGUCACAAAGAACUAUGUGAAACCAGCAAUGUCCGGAUUUUUAGUUGUGUCUAGCUUGAAAGAUGAGCAACAAUCGAAGGAUCAGGUUGAAGAACCCGAAUGGUUCAGCUGUGGCCCAACGUCAUGUUUGGGUACAAUCGAUCUGUGCGGUUUCGGAUGAUGACCACGAUCGAGAAAGUUUAUUGUCGAUAUCGAUAACGACAAGCUUAAAGAAAAUCACAUUCAAAAAGCUAA